GACGAACGCUGGUGGCGUGCCUAAUACAUGCAAGUCGAGCGGACCAAUAGAAGCUUGCUUCUGUUGGUUAGCGGCGGACGGGUGAGUAACACGUGGGCAACCUGCCUGUAAGACUGGGAUAACUUCGGGAAACCGGAGCUAAUACCGGAUAAUUCAUCCCCUCGCAUGAGGGGAUGCUGAAAGUCGGUUUACGCUGACACUUACAGAUGGGCCCGCGGCGCAUUAGUUAGUUGGUGAGGUAAUGGCUCACCAAGGCGACGAUGCGUAGCCGACCUGAGAGGGUGAUCGGCCACACUGGGACUGAGACACGGCCCAGACUCCUACGGGAGGCAGCAGUAGGGAAUCUUCCACAAUGGACGAAAGUCUGAUGGAGCAACGCCGCGUGAGCGAUGAAGGCCUUCGGGUCGUAAAGCUCUGUUGUUAGGGAAGAACAAGUAUCGGAGUAACUGCCGGUACCUUGACGGUACCUAACCAGAAAGCCACGGCUAACUACGUGCCAGCAGCCGCGGUAA
rnacentral:rRNA from 1 species